rnacentral:rRNA from 1 species
CGGCCCUAGUGCGCAGGGUGGCGAGGUAAUGCAGUCGAGGGGCAUCGGGAGGGAAGCUUGCUUUCCUUGCCGGCGACCGGCGCACGGGUGAGUAACACGUAUGCAACCUGCCCUCUUCAGGGGGACAACCUUCCGAAAGGGAGGCUAAUCCCGCGUAUAUCGGUUUCGGGCAUCCGGGAUCGAGGAAAGAUUCAUCGGAAGAGGAUGGGCAUGCGGCGCAUUAGCUUGACGGCGGGGUAACGGCCCACCGUGGCGACGAUGCGUAGGGGUUCUGAGAGGAAGGUCCCCCACACUGGUACUGAGACACGGACCAGACUCCUACGGGAGGCAGCAGUGAGGAAUAUUGGUCAAUGGGAGAGAUCCUGAACCAGCCAAGCCGCGUGAGGGAAGACGGCCCUAUGGGUUGUAAACCUCUUUUGUCGGAGAACAAAACCCGGGACGUGUCCCGGACUGCGUGUAUCCGAAGAAAAAGCAUCGGCUAACUCCGUGCCAGCAGCCGCGGUAAUACGGAGGAUGCGAGCGUUAUCCGGAUUUAUUGGGUUUAAAGGGUGCGUAGGCGGUCCGUUAAGUCAGCGGUAAAAUUGCGGGGCUCAACCCCGUCGAGCCGUUGAAACUGGCAGACUUGAGUUGGCGAGAAGUACGCGGAAUGCGCGGUGUAGCGGUGAAAUGCAUAGAUAUCGCGCAGAACUCCGAUUGCGAAGGCAGCGUACCGGCGCCAGACUGAGGCUGAGGCACGAAAGCGUGGGGAUC